AGGGGUAGUUGGAGCUGAAUGUUCGGAGUGAGAGGUUGGACAGAGCAUAGUGGAGAGAUUGGUUUAUAUCUAGUGGAACUGGAAAUGAAUGCUUACAAGAGCACUGUGCUGGUCUAUAUGCAAUGUGAGGACAGCAGGGAAUUCAGAGGGCUUUCACUGUCAGCCCAAACCCAGUAAGAGGCUACCUGGAAUGCUAGAUAUGAAGUGGCACCUGACUACUCUGGUAAAUAAUUCAGGGAGAUAUACACAGUUCUGCUCUGGACCCAAAAGGAGAUCAAGUUCUGAAGUAGGGAACAGACAUAUUCUGUUCAUCCAACAGCAACUCCUUGCUCCCUUAACUUGUGGAGCUGAGAAAAGAGGCUUCAAUUGGAGAACUGUCUGAGGAACAACCACAAUCCCUCCCAGUAUACAACAUGCUAACGAGGAUGGGGCAACCAAAUGCAUUUUUGUUUAGAACAACAAUAGGCUUGAACUGCAUCUCCAUAUUCAGAAGCAUAUG